rnacentral:rRNA from 1 species
UGCCCUAUGGGUUGUAAACUGCUUUUAUAUAGGAAGAAACCUUGGUACGUGUACCAAGCUGACGGUACUAUAAGAAUAAGGAUCGGCUAACUCCGUGCCAGCAGCCGCGGUAAUACGGAGGAUCCAAGCGUUAUCCGGAAUCAUUGGGUUUAAAGGGUCCGUAGGUGGAUAAUUAAGUCAGAGGUGAAAUCUUGCAGCUCAACUGUAAAAUUGCCUUUGAUACUGGUUAUCUUGAGUUAUUAUGAAGUAGUUAGAAUAUGUAGUGUAGCGGUGAAAUGCAUAGAUAUUACAUAGAAUACCAAUUGCGAAGGCAGAUUACUAAUAAUCAACUGACACUGAUGGACGAAAGCGUGGGUAGCGAACAGGAUUAGAUACCCUGGUAGUCCACGCCGUAAACGAUGGUUACUAGCUGUUUGGACCUUGUGUCUGAGUGGCUAAGCGAAAGUGAUAAGUAACCCACCUGGGGAGUACGUUCGCAAGAAUGAAACUCAAAGGAAUUGACGGGGGCCCGCACAAGCGGUGGAGCAUGUGGUUUAAUUCGAUGAUACGCGAGGAACCUUACCAGGGCUUAAAUGUAAGUUGCAUUAGUUAGAGAUAGCUAUUUCUUCGGACCACUUACAAGGUGCUGCAUGGUUGUCGUCAGCUCGUGCCGUGAGGUGUCAGGUUAAGUCCUAUAACGAGCGCAACCCCUGUUGUUAGUUGCCAGCGAGUCAUGUCGGGAACUCUAACAAGACUGCCAGUGCAAACUGUGAGGAAGGUGGGGAUGACGUCAAAUCAUCACGGCCCUUACGUCCUGGGCUACACACGUGCUACAAUGGUCGGUACAGAGAGCAGCCACUACGCGAGUAGGAGCGAAUCUUAAAAGCCGAUCACAGUUCGGAUCGGAGUCUGCAACUCGACUCCGUGAAGCUGGAAUCGCUAGUAAUCGGAUAUCAGCCAUGAUCCGGUGAAUACGUUCCCGGGCCUUGUACACACCGCCCGUCAAGCCAUGGAAGUUGGGAGUGCCUGAAGUCCGUUACCGUAAGGAGCGGCCUAGGGUAAAAUCGAUAACUAGGGCUAAGUCGUAACAAGGUAGCCGUACCGGAAGGUGCGGCUGGAACACCUCCUUUCU